GGUUAAGCGACUAAGCGUACACGGUGGAUGCCCUGGCAGUCAGAGGCGAUGAAGGACGUGCUAAUCUGCGAUAAGCGUCGGUAAGGUGAUAUGAACCGUUAUAACCGGCGAUUUCCGAAUGGGGAAACCCAGUGUGAUUCGUCACACUAUCAUUAACUGAAUCCAUAGGUUAAUGAGGCGAACCGGGGGAACUGAAACAUCUAAGUACCCCGAGGAAAAGAAAUCAACCGAGAUUCCCCCAGUAGCGGCGAGCGAACGGGGAGGAGCCCAGAGCCUGAAUCAGUGUGUGUGUUAGUGGAAGCGUCUGGAAAGGCGCGCGAUACAGGGUGACAGCCCCGUACACAAAAAUGCACAUACUGUGAGCUCGAUGAGUAGGGCGGGACACGUGGUAUCCUGUCUGAAUAUGGGGGGACCAUCCUCCAAGGCUAAAUACUCCUGACUGACCGAUAGUGAACCAGUACCGUGAGGGAAAGGCGAAAAGAACCCCGGCGAGGGGAGUGAAAAAGAACCUGAAACCGUGUACGUACAAGCAGUGGGAGC
rnacentral:rRNA from 1 species